CACGUAGGGGACGAGCGUUGUCCGGAUUCAUUGGGCGUAAAGCGCGCGUAAGCGGCUCGGAAAGUCGGGCGUGAAAUGCCGGGGCUCAACCCCGGGACUGCGUCCGAUACUUCCGAGCUGGAGGUAGGUAGGGGAGAUCGGAAUUCCUGGUGUAGCGGUGAAAUGCGCAGAUAUCAGGAAGAACACCAAUGGCGAAAGCAGCUUUCUGGGACGGUACUGACGCUGAGACGCGAAAGCGUGGGGAGCGAACAGG
rnacentral:rRNA from 1 species